rfam:Triticum aestivum genome assembly, contig: Triticum_aestivum_CS42_TGACv1_scaffold_558077_7AL
AUCCUACUCCCACCGUGCGAAAAAAUUUGUCCCAAACUUGUCCCUUAAAUGGAUGUAUCUAGCACUAACUUAGUGCUAGAUACAUCCAUUUGAGGGACAAACUUUUUUGGAUGAAGGGAGUACAAA